rnacentral:rRNA from 1 species
GAUGAACGCUGGCGGCGUGCCUAAUACAUGCAAGUCGAGCGAACAGACGAGGAGCUUGCUCCUCUGACGUUAGCGGCGGACGGGUGAGUCACACGUGCAUAACCGACCUAUAAGACUGGGAUAACUACGGGAACCCUAAGCUAAUACCGGAUAAUAUAUUGAACCGCAUGGUUCUAUAGUCAACGACGGUUUUGCUGGUCCUUAUAGAUGGAACGUCGCCGCUUUAGCUAGGUCGUAAGGUGACGGCUUACCAAGGCGACGAUGCGUAGCCGACCUGAGAGGGCGACCGGCCACACUGGAACUGAGACACGGCCCAGACUCCUACGGGAGGCAGCAGUAGGGAAUCUUCCGCAAUGGGCGAAAGCCUGACGGAGCAACGCCGCGUGAGUGAUGAAGGUCUUCGGAUCGUAAAACUCUGUUAUUAGGGAAGAAAAAAUUUGUAAGUAACUAUGCACGUCUUGACGGUACCUAAUCAGAAAGCCACGGCUAACUACGUG